rnacentral:rRNA from 1 species
UACGUAGGGUGCGAGCGUUGUCCGGAAUUAUUGGGCGUAAAGAGCUCGUAGGCGGCCUGUUGCGUCGGUUGUGAAAGCCCGGGGCUUAACCCCGGGUCUGCAGUCGAUACGGGCAGGCUAGAGUUCGGUAGGGGAGAUCGGAAUUCCUGGUGUAGCGGUGAAAUGCGCAGAUAUCAGGAGGAACACCGGUGGCGAAGGCGGAUCUCUGGGCCGAUACUGACGCUGAGGAGCGAAAGCGUGGGGAGCAAACAGG